rnacentral:snoRNA from 1 species
ACUUCCACUGCACCUGACCAGUUUUCUGUUCACUGGUACAAUCCAGUGGUGAGCUGAUAGUAAACCCCAGCUUUUAGUUAACAGGGUAUUCUUCACGUGCCAAAAGCAUAGAAACAGCC